UCUACAAGAAUGAAAUACAACAACGACACAUUUCUAAAAUAUUUCUAAGUUGCUAAGUAUGAGAUUGUUAAGGGGUCUGGAUCAACAGCUUUGAAAAGUAUUUUCUACUACCCUGAUGCAGCAGUGGGGGCCGAGGGAAUGUGACGUUAUAAGAUAUUUAUUCAACUAAUGUCCUGUAGUUGUAAAUGUGUAAAAAAUUAAACAAUCAUACAUUUUUCUGA